UACAGGGGGGGCAAGCGUUGUUCGGAAUUACUGGGCGUAAAGGGCUCGUAGGUGGCCAACUAAGUCAGACGUGAAAUCCCUCAGCUUAACUGGGGAACUGCGUCUGAUACUGGAUGGCUUGAGUUUGGGAGAGGGAUGCGGAAUUCCAGGUGUAGCGGUGAAAUGCGUAGAUAUCCUGAGGAACACCGGUGGCGAAAGCGGCUCACUGGGUCUUUUCUGACGCUGAGGCACGAAAGCUAGGGUAGCGAACGGG
rnacentral:rRNA from 1 species